rnacentral:lncRNA from 1 species
GAUUACAGGAUGAUGUUUUUCUGUGAGAGGCUAACAAGAGUAAGCAGGUGUCAUGCCAUGCUAACCUGCAGAACAAAAUUGUAAAUACAGAGAGGAGAAACAGGUUUCUGAAUUUAUAUUGCUGCUAUCUUAUGGGGAUCAGCUUCCACUGGUACCAUAAUGUGUUAUGUUGAAAAGGGCAGACAAAGUGGCUGAGUGACUGCUCGGAGAGUCCCCAAGAGAUUAUGUGGAAAAUUCAGUUGCACCACAUGUUGGAGCAGCCUCACAAGUGAAAAAUAAAUCCAUGGCAUGUGGUUAUUCACCUGAGAGUACUUUUCAUUCACUGCAUUGUUCAUCAGAAUGAAGUACCAGCAUAUUUCUUUUUCAAAUCACAAAAUGCAAAAUGGAAAAUGUUAUAUGUUGUGCAGAUCAGCACUGUAUCUCCAAUUUUCUAAACGUGAUGUAAAAGUAGAGUCUGGAUAUGGUAACCAAGUGCUCUUUUGACUUUUUAGAAGAAAACACACUUUUCAAAUGCAGUUGAUUUUCAACUACA